AACGAACGCUGGCGGCGUGGAUAAGACAUGCAAGUCGAACGAGAACUUUCGUUGUAGCAAUACAGUGAAAGUUCUAGUGGCGAACGGGUGCGUAACACGUGGGCAAUCUGCCUUAAAGUGGGGGAUAGCUCGGCGAAAGCCGGAUUAAUACCGCAUGUGAUUACCGGAGAAUUCUUCGGAACAUCAAAGUCGGGGCAACCUGACGCUUUUUGAGGAGCCCGCGGCCUAUCAGCUAGUUGGUGAGGUAACGGCUCACCAAGGCCACGAUGCGUAGCCGACCUGAGAGGGUGAUCGGCCACAUUGGAACUGAGACACGGUCCAGACUCCUACGGGAGGCAGCAGUGGGGAAUAUUGCACAAUGGGCGAAAGCCUGAUGCAGCAACGCCGCGUGAGUGAUGAAGGCCUUCGGGUUGUAAAGCUCUGUCUUUUGGGACGAUAAUGACGGUACCAAAGGAGGAAGCCACGGCUAACUACGUGCCAGCCGCCGCCGUAAGAC
rnacentral:rRNA from 1 species